ensembl:lncRNA
CAAUAGUGCAGCCUUAGGGCAGGGCCUUGGAAAUGGCACGGGCGACCCACUCCAGUACUCUUGCCUGGAAAAUCCCACGGACGGAGGAGCCUGAAUGAAAACCCAGCACUUGGAAGAUGUCAGCAUUCUUCAUACCAGAGAAGACCACCUGAGGCCAGACUAAAGGAACUGGAGAAGCUCAUCAAGAUUACCUGGGACCACAUGUAGGGAAUGCAGAUCCUGUGCUGCUUGCCUCUCAUUUCCGUAAGGAUGUGUGGCCAAGUUCAUUGUCCUGUAGAGGCUCCGAUCGUGUCACACCCAACAUCCAAUCUGCUUUCCUGUGACCUACAGACUAAAGGCAGACACCUCAAAUCACUUCCUGCCCUACUGGAUGUAAACAAAUACAAACACAACACAAACCAGCUGAGAAGCAAACUCCCCCAGAUCAAUCUAUGCCUGGCCCCAGUACAACUUCCCCCAGCUCUUGUUCAGACUCGCUUCCAAUAGAACUGAACUGCAGGGUGCUCCUGCGAUGAGAGCACAUUCUUAACUCCAUAAGCUUGUGCUAUUCUCUUCACCUGGGGUUCUCUUUUCCCUUGUCUACACAUAUAGUCCUACAAAUCUGUAUUAGUUUGCUAGGGCUGCUGUAACAAAGUGCUGCAAACUGGUUGACUUAGAACAACAGAAAUUUAUCGUUUUUAUAACGAUAACCGAAUUCCCAGUUCUGGAAGC